GACAACAUCCCACACACCAUAGGCUAGGAAUCGAUAGGACAGCACAAUGGGGCGAGACUCGAGUUGGCAAAAUGCCGCAAAAAUCUUUCAGUGACUUCUUAGAUUCAUACGGGCUCAGCCAUGACGGCCUACGAAACGCUUUUUUACUAUUUUGGGCUAUAUUUCCUCUUCAUGUUGGCAUUCUUUGUAAUCCUGUGCCUGUUCUGCCUGGUGUGCAUGGUGUGGUACCAGCGGCGCCACCCCGAGGAGGCGCUGACAUCCACCACGGACUACCACUGCAAGGAAGACACGCCCAUACGGAGACCCUGCCAGGACUUCUAGUAGGGAUGACUUGCUGAUACCGAAUUGAACCGUUUAAAGUAUUUCUACAUUAAACACCAAGGCCCUGUUUCACAAUGUCUGGAUGCUACUUGUGCGGUAAAAGACGUGCUGUCACUCGUGAUUGUGUUUUCAACAGUGAUAGCAUGUCUAUUAUCCCACAGGGCAUGGUGAUUAUACAGAUAUUGUGAAACGGGCCCUCAAAAGAACAGAGAUUUGGUUUAUUCACCCGAUAUAAAUUUAUUUAUUAAUGGUGAUGGGUGUCCGCAAAUUAUUCUUCUACUCUGUAUACGCCUUCAAAAUGUACAUAAUAUUAUCUUGUUAUAAUAAAAUAUAUUAAUGAUUGA